CAGUUCUUGGCCUUUCUCAUUGACUGAAUCUAUCCAACCCGUGGCCUUACGAGUGACCAGACCACUGCUUUCUUUGAGCACACUGGGGUCCAGCUGGCUAACAGAGCUUUUAUGGACAUUUUUUACUCCAUGUACAGUGUAUCGUGUAAGUUGGCUUCCACCAGUUUCCAGACAAGAUGGUGAGUCGACACAGGAGUUUGCCAACAAAGUCCAGAAGGUAAGAUCUCUCAGCUAAGUGUGUUCAUAUGGACAAGAUUUAUUGUAGAAAC